rnacentral:rRNA from 1 species
GACGAACGCUGGCGGCGUGCCUAAUACAUGCAAGUCGAACGCACUCUCGUUUAGAUUGAAGGAGCUUGCUCCUGAUUGAUAAACAUUUGAGUGAGUGGCGGACGGGUGAGUAACACGUGGGUAACCUGCCCUAAAGUGGGGAUAACAUUUGGAAACAGAUGCUAAUACCGCAUAAAACCUAACACCGCAUGGUGUAGGGUUGAAAGAUGGUUUCGGCUAUCACUUUAGGAUGGACCCGCGGUGCAUUAGUUAGUUGGUGAGGUAAAGGCUCACCAAGACCGUGAUGCAUAGCCGACCUGAGAGGGUAAUCGGCCACACUGGGACUGAGACACGGCCCAGACUCCUACGGGAGGCAGCAGUAGGGAAUCUUCCACAAUGGACGAAAAGUCUGAUGGAGCAACGCCGCGUGAGUGAAGAAGGUUUUUGGAUCGUAAAACUCUGUUGUUGGAGAAGAAUGUAUCUGAUAGUAACUGAUCAGGUA